rnacentral:rRNA from 1 species
UGGGGAAUCUUCUGCAAUGGACGAAAGUCUGACGGAGCAACGCCGCGUGAGUGAAGAAGGCCUUCGGGUUGUAAAGCUCUGUUAUCGGGGAAGAACACCUUCCAUGUGAAUAAUGUGGAAGGUUGACGGUACCCGAGGAGGAAGCCACGGCUAACUACGUGCCAGCAGCCGCGGUAAUACGUAGGUGGCGAGCGUUGUCCGGAAUUAUUGGGCGUAAAGCGCGCGCAGGCGGGAAAGUAAGUCUACGCUAAAAGUGCGGGGCUCAACCCGGUGAUGGGGUGGAAACUGCUUUUCUUGAGUGCCGGAGAGGAAAGCGGAAUUCCCAGUGUAGCGGUGAAAUGCGUAGAUAUUGGGAGGAACACCAGUGGCGAAGGCGGCUUUCUGGACGGUGUCUGACGCUGAGGCGCGAAAGCCAGGGGAGCGAACG